UGCGGAGGGUGCAAGCGUUAAUCGGAAUUACUGGGCGUAAAGCGCACGUAGGCGGUUCGUUAAGUCGGAUGUGAAAUCCCCGGGCGUCAACCUGGGAACGUGCGUUUGUUGACUGUGUUGCUAGAGUGUAGCAGAGGGGGGUGGGAAUUCCACGUGUAGCAGUGAAAUGCGUAGAGAUGUGGAGGAACACCGAUGGCGAAGGCAGCCCCCUCGGGUUAACGACUGACGCUCAUGCACGAAAGCGUGGGGAGCAAACAGGAUUAGAUACCCC
rnacentral:rRNA from 1 species